rnacentral:rRNA from 1 species
UACGUAGGUGGCAAGCGUUGUCCGGAAUUACUGGGCGUAAAGGGCGUGUAGGCGGCUUUUUAAGUCAGAUGUGAAAUCUUUGGGCUUAACCCAAAGACUGCAUUUGAAACUGAGAGGCUUGAGGACCGGAGAGGCUAGUGGAAUUCCCGGUGUAGCGGUGAAAUGCGUAGAGAUCGGGAGGAACACCAGAGGCGAAGGCGGCUAGCUGGACAGUCACUGACACUCAACUACGAAAGCGUGGGGAGCAAACAGG